UACAGAGGGUGCGAGCGUUGUCCGGAAUUACUGGGCGUAAAGGGCUCGUAGGUGGCCAACUAAGUCAGACGUGAAAUCCCUCGGCUUAACCGGGGAACUGCGUCUGAUACUGGAUGGCUUGAGUUUGGGAGAGGGAUGCGGAAUUCCAGGUGUAGCGGUGAAAUGCGUAGAUAUCUGGAGGAACACCGGUGGCGAAGGCGGCAUCCUGGACCAACACUGACACUGAGGAGCAAAAGCCAGGGGAGCAAACGGG
rnacentral:rRNA from 1 species